rnacentral:rRNA from 1 species
UCUAGAUUUUAGCAUGGAAUAAUAAAAUAGGACGUGUGGUUCUAUUUUGUUGGUUUCUAGGACCGCCGUAAUGAUUAAUAGGGACAGUCGGGGGCAUCAGUAUUCAAUUGUCAGAGGUGAAAUUCUUGGAUUUAUUGAAGACUAACUACUGCGAAAGCAUUUGCCAAGGAUGUUUUCAUUAAUCAGGAACGAAAGUUAGGGGAUCGAAGACGAUCAGAUACCGUCGUAGUCUUAACCAUAAACUAUGCCGACUAGGGAUCGGACGAUGUUAAAAAUUGACUCGUUCGGCACCUUACGAGAAAUCAAAGUGCUUGGGCUCCAGGGGGAGUAUGGUCGCAAGGCUGAAACUUAAAGAAAUUGACGGAAGGGCACCACCAGGGGUGGAGCCUGCGGCUUAAUUUGACUCAACACGGGGAAACUCACCAGAACCAGAA